UACAGAGGUGGCAAGCGUUGUUCGGAAUUACUGGGCGUAAAGGGCGCGUAGGCGGCCUUCUAAGUCAGACGUGAAAUCCCCCGGCUUAACCUGGGAACUGCGUCUGAUACUGGAGGGCUUGAGUGCGGGAGAGGGAUGUGGAAUUCCAGGUGUAGCGGUGAAAUGCGCAGAUAUCAGGAAGAACACCUAUGGCGAAGGCAGCUCUCUGGGACGGUACUGACGCUGAGGCGCGAAAGCGUGGGAGCGAACAGGAUUAGAACCGACCGUAGUCAGAUCCAAGA
rnacentral:rRNA from 1 species